AUUCUACAGUGUCCAAAGAAAAAAGGAAAAGUUACAACUAUGCGCCAAAACCCUCAACCCCAAUUAGAUAGACUCCGCGUCAUUAUUUCAGUUUCAACCCACGAUCACAGUUCACAAUUCCAUUACUGAUAUGUAAAUCCUUUCCAUGGUUUUUCUCAAUUAAAACAUAAUCUCAAGCUAGGGUCUCCCCAAAUUCAUCUGUGCUCUUGGAUUCUCAAUUGCACAAUCUAUUUGGCUAAGUGAAAGAAGGAUUGUAAGGAAAAUGAGUUCAAAUCGUCAAUGGAUGUACAAAAGGUUAUCUGGAGGUCUAUAUCAUCCAGAAUUUAUAACGGGUGUACAACAAUUUAUUAAGUUUGCCAUGAAUCAUCUGGAAGGGAGGGAUGGUGAGAGACUAAGGUGCCCAUGUAACUGAAAGAAAUUUUAGAAUAGAAACUUUGAAAAUGUUCAUACAGUCCAUGCACAUUUAUUGAGCAAUGGUUUUAAACCGGACUAUCAUGUAUGGUACUUGCAUGGAGAAAAUAAGGUUAGAGGAAAUAUAGAUCAACAUGAAAGGAUGCACAACUGGGAUCAUAUAAUGAAUAACCCACCGGUGAAUGUUGGUGCAUUUGAUGAGCCUGGACCAUCUAUUUCAUAUCAUAGAAUGGUCCAUGAGGCUGCUGGUGCCUCAUUCGAUCAGCAAAACCAUACACUGGUUAUAAUGUCAAUGGCUAUAAACUUCACACUAAAAGCCGCAGUUCUUCUAGAGCAUCUAAUAACAGCGGCGUAUGCAUAAAAGGAACCAACUACAGUGCAGAUGACUAUGACUACUAUAGUGUGCUUACUGAUAUCCUUGAAUUGGAGUACAAGGGUAGUACGUCGAUAAAGAGAACUGUUUUAUUAAGUGUGAAUGGUUUGAUCCCACACCAAAAGUAGGAAUGAAGAUUCACCCGCAAUAUAAACUUGUGGAUGUCAACCAUCGAAGGAAAUUAAAAAAGUAUGAACCAUUUGUUUUGGCAAUGCAAGCGGCUCAAGUUUAUUAUGCCACUUAUCCUAGCUUACGAUGUGAUAAGACUGACUGGUGGGCUGUGUGCAAAACAAAAGCUCAGGGUAUUGUGGAUAUGCCCCCAUCUUCUUCACAAUCACCUCCAGCUGAUGUUGUAGAGCCAUUCCAAUUUGAUGAAGAUGGUUUAACAUUUGAUGUGGUACCCGACAAUGAAACUAUUGUGCGGAAUGAUCCAAAUGGCGAAUUCAUAAACUUAAGAGACGAUGAUGAUGAUUUAGAUGAUGAGGUAGAAAUUCAUGAUGAGUCUGAAUUAGAUGAAGAUGGUGAUAAUGAGGAUGAAGAGGCAUAUGAUGCAAGUGGCAGUGAAUAGAGUCAAAAUGCUCUAAUCUCUUCAAAUAAGAGUUAGAGUGAUUGAAACAUAGUCUCUUUGAAGUUGAAGAUAUGGCACCUGGGAAAGGUGGACCAGGUAGAUAUUUUAAAAAAGAGGAAUGCAAAUCCAUUGACAUCUCCUCCUAUGUGGAGUCCGCACCUAAUCAAGCACCACUAUAACCUGAAUCGUCGGACUAGAAACGCCACAAUCAAUCGCAGCAGUCAAUAGAUCUGUACCAUCAUCAUCUUCCGGGCUUGAUACACCUGAAGAUGAAAUUAGAUCAAGAAGUUCUUCAAAAACAAAUGAUGGUACUCGUAUCCUAAUUGAAGUCGUCCUUGGAGGGUUACUGUAUACCAAUGUCUCGAAGGUGGUGUUAUUGUUGUGCUGCUGUCUUAUAUCGAUGAAGACAAAGAUGAAUCAUUUGACACUGUAAGUUGGGCUUGCAAUAUUGAUGGGUGUCUAUUAGUAGUGGCUGGAUAAAGAAAUCGAAUUCUUUGCGUUAUUGAUGCUGGAAAUGAGAAGAUACACAAGAGCUUUGUUGGGCAUGGAGACUCAAUAAACGAAAUUAGGACGCAAGCCUUGAAACCAUCUCUUGUAGUAUCUGCCAGCAAAGAUGAAUCCGUUCGCUUGUGGAAUGUUCAUACUGGAAUAUGCAUUUUGGUAUGUGCUGGUGCUGGGGGUCACCAAAAUGAAUUGCUCAGUAUGGACUUCCAUCCUUCUGAUGUAUAUCACAGUGCUAGCUGUGGAAUGGAUAACACUAUGAAGAUCUGGUCAAUGAAAGGUAAAAUUAGUAACACUUUCCAUUUUACAUAGAUUGUUGAAGACAUAUGAUAUACAACUAACUGACUAUGUAUCAUCAUCUACUAAAACUUUGGAGAAGAGAAAAAGGGUGUGAUCUCUAUAGGAGCAACUUGUAAUUGCUCAUGUUCUCAAGGCUUCUCCAGAACCUUUAGGAUGAUGUUAAUGUUGUGCUUAUGGGAUGCCUCUAUUUUUUCAGAUUUGGUGACUUGUCACCUAUAUAACUUGAACCUGACACGACUACCUGGACUUGUUGAACUAAUGACUUGCACGCAAUUAUCAGUUGAUAUUUCUAUGAGGAUAUCUCUGUCUGCGGGUACAAAUGUAAAAAUGAUGUCAAUAAGUUCAAAGAACUAAUUGCAGUUAUAAAUGCUCCAACUACCUAGAAGGAAGGCAGGGAAGAUCUGGGACAGCAUAGUGGAAAAAACUGAGAAAAAGUUAACUAGGUGGAAGACCCAAUAUCUAUCCAUAGGAAGUUGACUCACCUGAAGUAAUUCUGUUCUUGAUUCUCUCCCCACAUAUGUGAUGUCCCUUUUUCCUUUACCUUCCAAUGUGAUCAAAAGACUGGACAAACUUAGGAGAAAUUCUGUGACAGGGAUGUAAAGAUGGAAAGGGCUAUGACUUGGUGAAAUGGAAACAGUCUUACUCCGCAAGAAGAGGGGUGGCUUGGGAAUCAGGAUCUUGAGUUUGCAGAUAAAUGCCUAAUGAUGACAUGGUUAUGGGGAUACAAUGGCGAGGAAACUGCUCUAUGGAAGGCAGUAAUAAAGGCCAAAUUUGGUGAAACAAAUCCAUGGUGCACAAAGGAAGUCACAGAAACUUAUGGAGUUGAAGUAUGGAGAGACAUCAGGGCCUUUGGCUAAUGCUGGAGGCAAAUCUCAAACUAAAGGUAGAAGAUGAUAACAAGAUCCAGUUCUGGAAAGAAGCUUGGAUUGACCAAACCCCUCUUGUGGAUUCUUUCCAGAUUUAUGCAACAUCUGCAACAACCCUGAAGCUAAAGUGAGUGAAUGCUGGUCAACUCAAGGGUGGGAUCUGCUUUUGAUAAAUAUCUUGCCAAGGCUACUGCUUUUGAUUGUUGAAAGAUCGCAUAAAAUUCACAAAUAGUCGUCAUUUUUUCACUUUGUAACGAAUAGUCACCAUCAUAGAAUUUCUAACUUUAUAGUAAUAAAUUACAGUAUUAUCACUUGCAAAAA